GAGAGGUGCCAAGUCAUCGGCAAAAUCCAGAUCUUCAAGUGUAGAGAAAAGCGUCCAUCUAAUGCCGGUAUGCUCCUCCUCAGUCGUACGUCGCAUCACCCAGUCAAUAACAAGAUUGAAGAGCAGUGACGACAUUACGCAACCUUGACGAACUCCGGUCUUGACUUCAAACCAUAUAUCGCUUCCUCCAACACAACAGCUAUAAUUUUUGUAGAAGCUCCUAAUGAGCUUCACCAUAUGACAUGGUAUUCCAUAGGCCCUCAAAAUCUGCCAUAAUCUGUCUCUGUUGACACUAUCGAAAGCCUUUUCAAAGUCUACAAAGUUCACGUGACGUUGUCGUUGCCAUUCUGCACUCUGUUCUAUGAUGUUACGCAGAGCAAAGAUCUGUUCUAUACAACGCCUACCUUUUCUAAAACCUGCCUGCUCCUUCCUCAGCGUUUCAUUAACUGCUGUUGAUAUUCUACCUAUGAUGAUUUUAGCGAGGAUCUUGCUGGGUAUUGACAGCACCAAAUGAUAAAAUAAGUUAUUUCAAAACAGCAUUGAAAUAAUAUUCACAAUUUGCAUAGCUCAAAAUGCGUAUCUUAUUUCGAGUUACAGUGCAGUGUAGAUGUGCCCUUAGAUUCUAAGCUUUUGGGGGAAGGGGGUUCUCUUUUUCUUUUGUGUGUGUAGAGCACCAAACUCAACAGGGUCCUGCUCCAUGACAGCACCUCCUGGGCACUACGACAAUACAAAUAAGAACAAAUAAUAAUCUCAAUAAAGAGUAAGGGACACUAAGGUGGGAAAUCCCAGUAAGAUAGCAGGAGAGAAUAAUGUGCAAAAAUCACAUGGCUAUUGAUGCAUGACUAUCAAUGUGGUAUGACUGGGAUUUACUGAAAAAUGCAGUAUAAUGAUCAAUAUUUUAACUUUGGAGUUAUCAAUGUCUAUAACAAAACAAAUUUAAACCAGAAUAAAAAAAUAUGAGUAUGUUUAAUUUUACCCACUGUUGGAAGUCCCAAUAGACUUUUCUUUUCCCCUGGGACUACACACAGUACAUUAAGUCUUUGGAAUAACGCAUCGGGCCUCUCUUUUAGGAUAUAAGUGGGGGAUAUGAAAUCGUUUUCAUCAUGAGAGUUAUUUUAGCAUCUUUCCAACUUUAUGUGCCUUAGUGUGAUAGCUUUCCCAAAACAGCAUAUUGGGUACGUGGAAGAUAUAUUCCCAGAAGACUAAGGACGUUCAAAUUAGAAUCCUGUGCUCUAUACUUUCUCCUAGCAAAGGAGCUGAGAGAGGUAUGCAACUCAUAUGAAGAAUGUUAACAUAAGACAACAAACAGCCAGCCAUUCUCCCUGAGUGCUCAUAAAUGAUGGUGGGCAAUAUGGGUAUCCCAUAAAUUCUCUUUUGUUAUUUUCAGGAUUCAUUAUCUUGAGUAAGGAAAUAACUUUCAGCCUCUUCCACAGUUUGAAAGCGCAUUGUUAUAGUGUUAUGGUGAAUUCUGAGCUAUGCUAGGAAUGAAACAGC